CCUACGGGAGGCAGCAGUGAGGAAUAUUGGUCAAUGGACGAGAGUCUGAACCAGCCAAGUAGCGUGAAGGAUGACUGCCCUAUGGGUUGUAAACUUCUUUUAUAAAGGAAUAAAACGAGGCACGUGUGCCUUUUUGCAUGUACUUUAUGAAUAAGGAUCGGCUAACUCCGUGCCAGCAGCCGCGGUAAUACGGAGGAUCCGAGCGUUAUCCGGAUUUAUUGGGUUUAAAGGGAGCGUAGAUGGGUUGUUAAGUCAGUUGUGAAAGUUUGCGGCUCAACCGUAAAAUUGCAAUUGAUACUGGCAGUCGUGAGUACAGUUGAGGUAAGCGGAAUUCGUGGUGUAGCGGUGAAAUGCUUCGAUAUCACGAAGAACCCCGAUUGCGAAGGCAGCUUACUAAACUGUGACUGACAUUGAUGCUCGAAAGUGUGGGUAUCAAACAGGAUUAGAUACCCGAGUAGUC
rnacentral:rRNA from 1 species